UACGGAGGGUGCAAGCGUUAUCCGGAUUCACUGGGUUUAAAGGGUGCGUAGGUGGAUCGGUAGGUCCGUGGUGAAAUCCCCGAGCUUAACUCGGGAACUGCCGUGGAUACUAUCGAUCUUGAAUACUGUGGAGGUAAGCGGAAUAUGUCAUGUAGCGGUGAAAUGCUUAGAUAUGACAUAGAACACCGAUAGCGAAGGCAGCUUGCUACACAGUUAUUGACGCUGAGGCACGAAAGCGUGGGGAGCAAACAGG
rnacentral:rRNA from 1 species